UGCUUUGAUUUAGAAUCAUGAAUUAUUUUAUUCUGAGUCGUGUCAAUUAAAUCACCAGGAGGCACAAAAUGUCAACAGAAGUAAAUCCUAAACAUUUCAUUGUAAAUAAAUAUUACGAAGUUACAGACAUCGUCUUAGGUCGCGGUGGAUUUUCAACCGUGUAUUUGGCAUAUCACACGGUGUUUCGUAACAAGGUUGCCUUAAAAGUAAUAAAUCGAGAUGAUAUUAAAGAAGACUAUGUAACUCGCAAUUUACAGCGAGAAGCUAAAAUCUUGAUGAAGUUAAAUCAUCCAAACAUCGUAAAAUUCUAUCAAGAAUUAUCGCAAAAUGAGUUGUAUUGCCUAUCACUGGAAUACGUUAAGGGUGUAACUUUGUCGCAAUAUUUGAAAAAACAAGAUUCCUUUCGUGUAUCGGAGAAGAUUGCGAAAGCGCUCUUUUAUCAAAUGAUUUCGGCUGUCCAGCACAUGCAUCAAAAUAAGAUACUACACAGAGAUUUAAAGCAAGAAAAUAUUCUUUUGGAACAUGGGCGAGUGAUAAAAAUUGUCGAUUUCGGUCUAAGCAAUAUUUUUCAUAAUAAAGCUCAAUUAAGAACACAUUGUGGAUCUCUAGUUUACGCAGCUCCCGAAUUAUUCCAGAAUCGAUCUGUGUAUGGAGCAGGAGUAGACCUCUGGAGUUUGGGUGUCAUUUUGUAUACUAUGGUGAUUGGAAAGAUGCCUUUUGAAAUCGCUAAAGACGAAAAUACUAGCUCCUCGAACUUCCGAAAAAAAGAACUUUUUUUCAAGAGGAUAUCACAAGGAUUAAUUCGAGACAACUGGGAAGACAUGCAGAAGUUAAGCAAAGAUUGCUGCAAUCUGUUGUCCAAUUUGCUGCAACCUGAUCAGUUCAAACGAAUACUAGUUAAAUCGGCUAUUGUGCAUUCGUGGUUCUAUAAAGAUCAAGACUUGAAAAGAAGAUUACCACAGCCCAGAUCAGAUUUGAGACAUAAGUUCUCUGUAGAUAUCAUAGAAUUUAUGGCAGACAAACUGAAUGUGUCAAGCGAAAGAAUUCAAACCCACCUUCACAAUUAUAAUUUCGACACGAUUUCCUCUAUUUUCUGCAUUUUACGAGACACUUUGAUGAAGGAAUUUUUGUAUCCUCCGAAAAUCGUAGAAUGUACAUUUUUAUUUAAGUUCGAAGCUUGGAAGAGGGAUUAUGAGACUAGAAAAAGAGACGAAAGAGAAAAGAAGGCGAAACACCGCUUGAAAUCGUUUUCCGUUAGAUAUCCUCAGGAAUGCCAUGUACAGAAUUCAAAUUUUGCGAGGCCUGUGUUCCGUUAUGACCUGACCAAAGAGCAUUCUAUGACCACGAAAAGUAAAUCUUUGGUCAAUGGUUUUGAAAAGAGACUUUCUGGUGAGAACCCGAAUCACAACCGACUUUGGGAACCGGAUUAUCCAAGAAGCAGAACUACUAAGAAACAGAGUAAUUUAAAAGAAAGUGGUUAUGAGACGAAUAAUACGGGUCUUUUAGAAUCUUUUCACGAAGCUGCUAACGCCUACCCAAAUAGAAAAUACCGAUUACUUAAAUUAAAUGAAAAUAGCAAACUCGAUAAAAAUUCCUCUGCAGAACAUGUAAUCAACGAGGAAAGUGUGGAACUGAACAUAAUAAGUAGUACAAAAGAAAGCUCCGACAAUUCUCUUGAAUCGAACGAAAAUAAUGCGGUAGUUAAAAAUACCACAACAAAGCAUAUUCAUGGAAAAAGUGUUGAAAGCAAAAAAAAUAGUGGUAUCGAAGUAAGCAGCAAGAGCUCCAACAAUCCUCUAAAAUCGUUCAAAAAUAACAGGCCUAGUAAAAAUACCGCUGCAGAACGUUUAAUUGACGGGAAAAGUGUUGAACGAAACAGAAACAGUGGUGAAGAAUUAGCAAAAUGCUUUCACAAUCCUCUUAAAUCGUAUAAAAAUAACAGACCUGCAAAAUAUUCCACUAUAAAUAAUAUUAAAAGUUUUAAUUGUGACAAAGAUAGUGGUAUAGAUGAAAAUGAAAAAUGUUCCAAUAAUCUUCCUAAACCGUUUAAAAAUGACAAAUUCAAAACAGAACAAUCAAUUCAUGACAAAGCUCGUGCACGAUACUCGCAUGGCAGUAUAGGUGGAAAUGGCAAGAGCUUAAGUCCUACAACAGCCCUUGAAGACUAUGAAUAUUCUGAUUAUAAAUUGAAACAUUCAAACAGGAAAACUAUAGAACCACGUACGACGAAUCAACUUUCGGAAGAAAUAAAUAAAAUUGAGAAUGCUAACGUAACUACAGGUUUGAGGAGAGUUUCAUCUGCAAUUGAAGAAUUCAGAUAUCCGAGGCAAGAGGUGUUCUUUGCAAAGAGAGCUAACAGAGGCAAAUGUUCAGCAAAAAAAUCUGAUUACACCACAAGGUACGUGAAGCAGUAUAAUGAUAAAUCACACGUUAUCACUGAUAAGUCUCCAAUAUCAGUGCAGAGUCAAACCUAUAUCCAGAGAAACAUAAUCGUCAGUAGAGCAGACAGAGGUUCGGGAAAAUCUUUUUUAAACAGUAAUAUUCCAGUUCGGUCAUCAAGAUCCUGCAUGACAACGAAAAUAACAGAAGAAAAAAUUCGAAAUCUAGAAGUAACCCCUAGAAGACAAAGAUUGUACUCCACGACUUAUUUUUCAUCGAAAAAGAAAAACCAAUGAAGAUGUUACUUGGAUUCAUUUAGCGGAUAAUGCUGUAUUUUUCUCAGGCAACUAAAUUCUUAAAUACCAAAAAAGCAUUUUGUUUCUUCCAACGAAGGCGCAUGUAAAUUAUAAAUAUAGAUACAUUUGACAACAUCUGAAGGAACUGUUUAAGAACAUUCAAAAAGAAAUUUGCUUUAAGCUGUAUUCAAUUAUAACAGAUUUAAAAAGUUGCGAACACAAAAUUUUAUAAUUAAUGGAAGAAAAAGAGCUGAUUUAGUGGAAGAUGAGAAAAUUUUGUUUUAUUAUUUAAGACUGAUGAUAUAUUGGACUAAACUGAUUACAUGAAAUCGAAAUCAUUUAAUUUAUAAAUCAUGAUGCUUUUAUUUUCAAAACUAGUACAUUCCAAUAUUGGAAAUGUUAAGUCAAUGUUUGCUAUUUUUAAAAUUAAAUUCGUUUAUAAUGAAAAUAAAUUAUAUCCUU
rnacentral:misc_RNA from 1 species